GACGAACGCUGGCGGCGUGCUUAACACAUGCAAGUCGAACGGUGAAGCGCUUGCCUUUUUGGUGGGUGUGGAUGAGUGGCGAACGGGUGAGUAACACGUGAGUAACCUGCCCUCUUCUUCUGGAUAACCUCAUGAAAGUGGGGCUAAUACGGGGUAUUCCGGGUCUGUCGCAUGGCGGGUUUGGGAAAGAUUGCGCCUUUGGGUGUUUUCGGUGGGGGAUGGGCUCGCGGCCUAUCAGCUUGUUGGUGGGGUGAUGGCCUACCAAGGCGGUGACGGGUAGCCGGCCUGAGGGGGUGGACGGCCGCGCUGGGACUGAGACACGGCCCAGACUCCUGCGGGAGGCAGCAGUGGGGAAGAUUGCACAAUGGGCGCAAGCCUGAUGCAGCGACGCCGCGUGAGGGAUGGAGGCCUUCGGGUUGUGAACCUCUUUCGCCAGUGAAGCAGGCCUGCUCCUGUGUGGGUGGGUUGACGGUAGCUGGAUAAGAAGCGCCGGCUAACUACGUG
rnacentral:rRNA from 1 species